rnacentral:rRNA from 1 species
GUGGGGAAUGUUGCACAAUGGGCGAAAGCCUGAUGCAGCAACGCCGCGUGAGUGAUGAAGGUCUUCGGAUUGUAAAGCUCUGUCUUUUGGGACGAUAAUGACGGUACCAAAGGAGGAAGCCACGGCUAACUACGUGCCAGCAGCCGCGGUAAUACGUAGGUGGCGGGCGUUGUCCGGAUUUACUGGGCGUAAAGGGUGCGUAGGCGGAUGUUUAAGUGAGAUGUGAAAUACCCGGGCUUAACUUGGGUGCUGCAUUUCAAACUGGAUAUCUAGAGUGCAGGAGAGGAGAAUGGAAUUCCUAGUGUAGCGGUGAAAUGCGUAGAGAUUAGGAAGAACACCAGUGGCGAAGGCGAUUCUCUGGACUGUAACUGACGCUGAGGCACGAAAGCGUGGGUAGCAAACAGGAUUAGAUACCCUGGUAGUCCACGCCGUAAACGAUGAGUACUAGGUGUAGGAGGUAUCGACCCCUUCUGUGCCGCAGUAAACACAUUAAGUACUCCGCCUGGGAAGUACGAUCGCAAGAUUAAAAC